GACGAACGCUGGCGGCGUGCUUAACACAUGCCAGUCGAACGGAAAGGCCCUGCUUUUGUGGGGUGCUCGAGUGGCGAACGGGUGAGUAACACGUGAGUAACCUGCCCUUGACUGUGGGAUAACUUCAGGAAACUGGGGCUAAUACCGGAUAGGAGCUCCUGCUGCAUGGUGGGGGCUGGAAAGUUUCGGCGGUUGGGGAUGGACUCGCGGCUUAUCAGCUUGUUGGUGGGGUAGUGGCUUACCAAGGCUUUGACGGGUAGGCGGCCUGAGAGGGUGACCGGCCACAAUGGGACUGAGAUACGGCCCAGACUCCUACGGGAGGCAGCAGUGGGGAGUAUUGCACAAUGGGCGGAAGCCUGAUGCAGCAGCGCCGCGUGCGGGAUGACGGCCUUCGGGUUGUAAACCGCUUUCGCCUGUGACGAAGCGUGAGUGACGGUAAUGGGUGAAGAAGCACCGGCUAACUACGUG
rnacentral:rRNA from 1 species